UGAGCCACUCAGGUGCCCCGAAAAACUCGUUAUUUUAAAAGGUAUGAGAUCAUAAUAGCAUUGCAAAAGAAGAGAAUGUGCCAUUGGCAAAACAGAAAAAUUGGGAAACUCCUAGAAGAUAAAAAUUAGAUAGAGCCAAUAUAUAAAUCAACAGAGAAACUAGAACAACAACCUUAGAACCAAAACGUCAAAGGUACAUUGUUUCCAAGGAACGCCAGGAAGCUCCAAUGUCAGAAUCAGUGAAUAUGAAAGGCAGGGAUGGCUUGUAAAGUCAAUGAACAGGGCACUUAACUGGUACUCUUUCCACAUUAGGAACACAGGAUCAAACAGAUCCCAGACCUUCCUCAAACAGUGCGUCCAGAAUGGCUAGCACUGUGGCCAAACUGCAGGUACUCACAGCUGGAAAAAAAAAAAAAAAAAAGAAAGAAAAUAAAAGAAAAGAAAAAGAAAAGAGGGACUUGUUUGGAGAGGAGAGGGCUCCCUGGAUAGUUGUUGGGCCUGAUGAAUAAACAGACCUGAGCUGAGCGGCUACCAGGUGUCCACAGCAGAGGCUAAGGAAAAAACAAUCAAAUGCAGGAGAACUUUGGUCAACGUUCUGCCAACCUUGUCUGUUGUCACCAUGAAACUUAGAGGAAUCAGCCUGAUGAAGUACCUGUCCACUAACUGGGAGCCUGCCAUCCGUCCUCCUGUAGGGGAACCGGGACUUCCUGACUCAGGGGAAACCCAGACCACUGCAAGCAGGCCUGAAGAGGCGAAGUUGGAGGGGGCAGUGGCCAGAAGAAAGAUAACCUGAGUAUGGUCUCCAACCAAACUCAUACAACCAUCCCUGAAUUUUGUAGAAUGAAAAUGAGAUUUUCCUAGGGCAAAG